AGCAGUCGCCGCGGGAAUACGUAGGUCCCGAGCGUUGUCCGGAUUUAUUGGGCGUAAAGCGAGCGCAGGCGGUUAGAUAAGUCUGAAGUUAAAGGCUGUGGCUUAACCAUAGUACGCUUUGGAAACUGUUUAACUUGAGUGCAAGAGGGGAGAGUGGAAUUCCAUGUGUAGCGGUGAAAUGCGUAGAUAUAUGGAGGAACACCGGUGGCGAAAGCGGCUCUCUGGCUUGUAACUGACGCUCAUGCACGAAAGCGUGGGGAGCAAACAGGAUUAGAUACCCCCGUAGUCCCUGUCUCUUAUACC
rnacentral:rRNA from 1 species